GUGACGGAGUACUACAUGACUACGUAUACUGCCCAUCCUACUACACCGAGGCUUCUAACUGCUACACCGAGGCUCUUGCUGAUUAUUCCACCAAGACGGUUGAGUACUACACCGAAGCGGCAAAGUACUUCUCUGCCCCGAUCUACACAAUCACAACUGAGGCGGCCGUAUUACGCAGUCCCGACUUGCAAAAGCUGCUCUUUCGUGCUACGUUGAACAGCAAUACUACACUGAUGCUCGAGUCUACUGUACCACGACCUACGCUACACCUAGCUACAACACCCCCAAGUACUACACCGAAGAAGCCGCCUAUUAACACAACUACGUGCGCUGCCUAGUUUGCUGCAUCGACGAAUUUAAGUAUUACCCUGCUCCAAACUACUACCAAAUUGAGGUUCAUAUUUAUUGCAAUUUUCACGACUAAUGUCACCACUGCUUACGCUGCUCUGACCUAUACACCGAAGUUCUGAAGAUUUUCUAUGGAUGUGUUGAAAGAUUGCUAAAAUAUGAGUUUGAUUGAUAAAUCAUAAGUGCAUGUUUCUAUUUUCUCCUUCAGUAUCUUUCCUCCUGCUGAUAAUUGUAUGAUGUGAGACAAUAUUUCUGAGUGCUAUGUAAACUUACAAAUAAUUGAUCUUGCAAAGUACAUCAAUAAAAAUUCAAA